UACGUAGGGUGCGAGCGUUGUCCGGAAUUACUGGGCGUAAAGAGCUCGUAGGUGGUUUGUCGCGUUGUUCGUGAAAACCGGGGGCUUAACCCUCGGCGUGCGGGCGAUACGGGCAGACUUGAGUACUGCAGGGGAGACUGGAAUUCCUGGUGUAGCGGUGGAAUGCGCAGAUAUCAGGAGGAACACCGGUGGCGAAGGCGGUUCUCUGGGCAUGUCCUGACGCUGAGGAGCGAAAGCGUGGGGAGCGAACAGG
rnacentral:rRNA from 1 species